CCUUACCUGGCCUUGACAUCCAGAGAACUUUCCAGAGAUGGAUUGGUGCCUUCAGGAACUCUGAGACAGGUGCUGCAUGGCCGUCGUCAGCUCGUGUCGUGAGAUGUUGGGUUAAGUCCCGUAACGAGCGCAACCCCUAUCCCUGGUUGCUAGCAGGUAAUGCUGAGAACUCCAGGGAGACUGCCGGUGACAAACCGGAGGAAGGUGGGGAUGACGUCAGGUCAUCAUGGCCCUUACGGCCAGGGCUACACACGUGCUACAAUGGCGCGUACAGAGGGCUGCCAACUCGCGAGAGUGAGCCAAUCCCUUAAAACGCGUCGUAGUCCGGAUCGGAGUCUGCAACUCGACUCCGUGAAGUCGGAAUCGCUAGUAAUCGCGAAUCAGAAUGUCGCGGUGAAUACGUUCCC
rnacentral:rRNA from 1 species